GACGAAGGAUCCAAGCGUUAUCCGGAUUCAUUGGGUUUAAAGGGUGCGUAGGCGGCCCGGUAAGUCAGUGGUGAAAUCUCCUUGCUUAACAAGGAAACUGCCAUUGAUACUGCUGGGCUUGAGUACAGAUGCUGUGGGCGGAAUAUGACAUGUAGUGGUGAAAUACAUAGAGAUGUCAUAGAACACCGAUUGCGAAGGCAGCUCACAAAACUGUAACUGACGCUGAGGCACGAAAGUGCGGGGAGCGAACAGG
rnacentral:rRNA from 1 species